rfam:Schistosoma curassoni strain Dakar, Senegal genome assembly, scaffold: SCTD_scaffold0024055
GCACUGCUGAGGAGCCCCAUACUAGAACGAAACGGCCGUCCAGUGC